GUGGGGAAUAUUGCGCAAUGGGGGAAACCCUGACGCAGCGACGCCGCGUGGAGGACGAAGGCCUUCGGGUUGUAAACUUCUUUUAUAGGGGAAGAUAGUGACGGUACCCUAUGAAUAAGCCACGGCUAACUCUGUGCCAGCAGCCGCGGUAAGACAGAGGUGGCGAGCGUUGUUCGGAAUUACUGGGCUUAAAGGGCGCGUAGGCGGUGGUGCAAGUCUGUGGUGGAAUCUCAGGGCUCAACCUUGAAAUUGCCAUGGAAACUGCAUGACUUGAGUCAGUGAGGGGAGGGCGGAAUUCCUGGUGUAGCAGUGAAAUGCGUAGAUAUCAGGAGGAAGGCCGGCGGCGAAGGCGGCCCUCUGGCACUUGACUGACGCUGAGGCGCGAAAGCGUGGGGAGCAAACAGGAUUAGAAACCCCGGUAGUCC
rnacentral:rRNA from 1 species